ACGAGUAAGGGCAUAUCAAGCAACGAAAUGCUCCAGGGAGUUGGAAAUAAGCAUAGAUCCAGAGAUUCUCAAAUAGGUCAACCUUUUAAACCGUCUGCUAAGUCCAUGAGCAGGCAAGAGACAACCUGGCGAACUUAAACAUCUUAGUAACCAGAGGAAAGAAAGCAAAAUCGAUUCCCGCAGCAGCGGCGUGCGAAUGGGAGCAGCCUAAACUGUGAGAACAGGGUUGUGGGAGAGCAAUACAAGGGUUGUGCUGCUAGGCUAAGCA
rfam:Triticum aestivum genome assembly, contig: Triticum_aestivum_CS42_TGACv1_scaffold_210945_3AS